GUCGAACGGUGAACACGGAGCUUGCUCUGUGGGAUCAGUGGCGAACGGGUGAGUAACACGUGAGCAACCUGCCCCUGACUCUGGGAUAAGCGCUGGAAACGGCGUCUAAUACUGGAUAUGUGACGUGAUCGCAUGGUCUGCGUCUGGAAAGAAUUUCGGUUGGGGAUGGGCUCGCGGCCUAUCAGCUUGUUGGUGAGGUAAUGGCUCACCAAGGCGUCGACGGGUAGCCGGCCUGAGAGGGUGACCGGCCACACUGGGACUGAGACACGGCCCAGACUCCUACGGGAGGCAGCAGUGGGGAAUAUUGCACAAUGGGCGCAAGCCUGAUGCAGCAACGCCGCGUGAGGGAUGACGGCCUUCGGGUUGUAAACCUCUUUUAGCAGGGAAGAAGCGAAAGUGACGGUACCUGCAGAAAAAGCGCCGGCUAACUACGUGCCAGCAGCCGCGGUAAUACGUAGGGCGCAAGCGUUAUCCGGAAUUAUUGGGCGUAAAGAGCUCGUAGGCGGUUUGUCGCGUCUGCUGUGAAAUCCGGAGGCUCAACCUCCGGCCUGCAGUGGGUACGGGCAGACUAGAGUGCGGUAGGGGAGAUUGGAAUUCCUGGUGUAGCGGUGGAAUGCGCAGAUAUCAGGAGGAACACCGAUGGCGAAGGCAGAUCUCUGGGCCGUAACUGACGCUGAGGAGCGAAAGGGUGGGGAGCAAACAGGCUUAGAUACCCUGGUAGUCCACCCCGUAAACGUUGGGAACUAGUUGUGGGGUCCAUUCCACGGAUUCCGUGACGCAGCUAACGCAUUAAGUUCCCCGCCUGGGGAGUACGGCCGCAAGGCUAAAACUCAAAGGAAUUGACGGGGACCCGCACAAGCGGCGGAGCAUGCGGAUUAAUUCGAUGCAACGC
rnacentral:rRNA from 1 species